rnacentral:rRNA from 1 species
CGGUUAAGUUAGAAAGGGCGCACGGUGGAUGCCUUGGCACUAGGAGCCGAUGAAGGACGGGACGAACACCGAUAUGCUUCGGGGAGCUGUAAGCAAGCUUUGAUCCGGAGAUUUCCGAAUGGGGAAACCCACCACUCGUAAUGGAGUGGUAUCCAUAUCUGAAUACAUAGGAUAUGAGAAGGCAGACCCGGGGAACUGAAACAUCUAAGUACCCGGAGGAAGAGAAAGCAAAUGCGAUUCCCUGAGUAGCGGCGAGCGAAACGGGACCAGCCCAAACCAAGAGGCUUGCCUCUUGGGGUUGUAGGACACUCUGUACGGAGUUACAAAGGAACGAGGUAGAUGAAGAGGUCUGGAAAGGCCCGCCAUAGGAGGUAACAGCCCUGUAGUCAAAACUUCGUUCUCUCCUGAGUGGAUCCUGAGUACGGCGGAACACGUGAAAUUCCGUCGGAAUCCGGGAGGACCAUCUCCCAAGGCUAAAUACUCCCUAGUGACCGAUAGUGAACCAGUACCGUGAGGGAAAGGUGAAAAGCACCCCGGAAGGGGAGUGAAAGAGAUCCUGAAACCGUGUGCCUACAAGUAGUCAGAGCCCGUUAACGGGUGAUGGCGUGCCUUUUGUAGAAUGAACCGGCGAGUUACGAUCCCGUGCAAGGUUAAGCAGAAGAUGCGGAGCCGCAGCGAAAGCGAGUCUGAAUAGGGCGAAUUGAGUACGUGGUCGUAGACCCGAAACCAGGUGAUCUACCCAUGUCCAGGGUGAAGUUCAGGUAACACUGAAUGGAGGCCCGAACCCACGCACGUUGAAAAGUGCGGGGAUGAGGUGUGGGUAGGGGUGAAAUGCCAAUCGAACCUGGAGAUAGCUGGUUCUCUCCGAAAUAGCUUUAGGGCUAGCCUCAAGGUAAGAGUCUCGGAGGUAGAGCACUGAUUGGACUAGGGGCCCCUACCGGGUUACCGAAUUCAGUCAAACUCCGAAUGCCGAUGACUUAUCCUUGGGAGUCAGACUGCGAGUGAUAAGAUCCGUAGUCGAAAGGGAAACAGCCCAGACCGCCAGCUAAGGUCCCAAAGUAUACGUUAAGUGGAAAAGGAUGUGGAGUUGCUUAGACAACCAGGAUGUUGGCUUAGAAGCAGCCACCAUUUAAAGAGUGCGUAAUAGCUCACUGGUCGAGUGACUCUGCGCCGAAAAUGUACCGGGGCUAAACGUAUCACCGAAGCUGCGGACUGUUCUUCGAACAGUGGUAGGAGAGCGUUCUAAGGGCUGUGAAGCAAGACCGGAAGGACUUGUGGAGCGCUUAGAAGUGAGAAUGCCGGUAUGAGUAGCGAAAGAGGGGUGAGAAUCCCCUCCACCGAAUGCCUAAGGUUUCCUGAGGAAGGCUCGUCCGCUCAGGGUUAGUCGGGACCUAAGCCGAGGCCGAAAGGCGUAGGCGAUGGACAACAGGUUGAUAUUCCUGUACCACCUCCUCACCAUUUGAGCAAUGGGGGGACGCAGGAGGAUAGGGUAAGCGCGGUAUUGGAUAUCCGCGUCCAAGCAGUUAGGCUGGGAAAUAGGCAAAUCCGUUUCCCGUGAAGGCUGAGCUGUGAUGGCGAGCGAAUUAUAGUAGCGAAGUUCCUGAUUCCACACUGCCAAGAAAAGCCUCUAGCGAGGUGAGAGGUGCCCGUACCGCAAACCGACACAGGUAGGCGAGGAGAGAAUCCUAAGGUGAUCGAGAGAACUCUCGUUAAGGAACUCGGCAAAAUGACCCCGUAACUUCGGGAGAAGGGGUGCUCUGUUAGGGUGCAAGCCCGAGAGAGCCGCAGUGAAUAGGCCCAGGCGACUGUUUAGCAAAAACACAGGUCUCUGCGAAGCCGUAAGGCGAAGUAUAGGGGCUGACGCCUGCCCGGUGCUGGAAGGUUAAGAGGAGCGCUUAGCGUAAGCGAAGGUGCGAAUUGAAGCCCCAGUAAACGGCGGCCGUAACUAUAACGGUCCUAAGGUAGCGAAAUUCCUUGUCGGGUAAGUUCCGACCCGCACGAAAGGCGCAACGAUCUGGCACUGUCUCAACGAGAGACUCGGUGAAAUUAUAGUACCUGUGAAGAUGCAGGGGAAAGACCCCGUGGAGCUUUACUGCAGCCUGAUAUUGAAUGUUGGUACAGCUUGUACAGGAUAGGUAGGAGCCUUGGAAACCGGAGCGCCAGCUUCGGUGGAGGCAUCGGUGGGAUACUACCCUGGCUGUAUUGACCUUCUAACCCGCCGCCCUUAUCGGGCGGGGAGACAGUGUCAGGUGGGCAGUUUGACUGGGGCGGUCGCCUCCUAAAAGGUAACGGAGGCGCCCAAAGGUUCCCUCAGAAUGGUUGGAAAUCAUUCGCAGAGUGUAAAGGCACAAGGGAGCUUGACUGCGAGACCUACAAGUCGAGCAGGGACGAAAGUCGGGCUUAGUGAUCCGGUGGUUCCGCAUGGAAGGGCCAUCGCUCAACGGAUAAAAGCUACCCCGGGGAUAACAGGCUUAUCUCCCCCAAGAGUCCACAUCGACGGGGCUCAUCGCAUCCUGGGGCUGUAGUCGGUCCCAAGGGUUGGGCUGUUCGCCCAUUAAAGCGGUACGCGAGCUGGGUUCAGAACGUCGUGAGACAGUUCGGUCCCUAUCCGUCGCGGGCGCAGGAAAUUUGAGAGGAGCUGUCCUUAGUACGAGAGGACCGGGAUGGACGCACCGCUGGUGUACCAGUUGUUCUGCCAAGGGCAUCGCUGGGUAGCUAUGUGCGGACGGGAUAAGUGCUGAAAGCAUCUAAGCAUGAAGCCCCCCUCAAGAUGAGAUUUCCCAUUCCGCAAGGAAGUAAGAUCCCUGAAAGAUGAUCAGGUUGAUAGGUCUGAGGUGGAAGUGUGGCGACACAUGGAGCUGACAGAUACUAAUCGAUCGAGGACUUAACCAA